GAUGAACGCUGGCGGCGUGCCUAAUACAUGCAAGUCGAGCGAACAGAUAAGGAGCUUGCUCCUUUGACGUUAGCGGCGGACGGGUGAGUAACACGUGGGUAACCUACCUAUAAGACUGGAAUAACUCCGGGAAACCGGGGCUAAUGCCGGAUAACAUUUAGAACCGCAUGGUUCUAAAGUGAAAGAUGGUUUUACUAUCACUUAUAGAUGGACCCGCGCCGUAUUAGCUAGUUGGUAAGGUAACGGCUUACCAAGGCAACGAUACGUAGCCGACCUGAGAGGGUGAUCGGCCACACUGGAACUGAGACACGGUCCAGACUCCUACGGGAGGCAGCAGUAGGGAAUCUUCCGCAGUGGGCGAAAGCCUGACGGAGCAACGCCGCGUGAGUGAUGAAGGUCUUCGGAUCGUAAAACUCUGUUAUUAGGGAAGAACAAAUGUGUAAGUAACUGUGCACGUCUUGACGGUACCUAAUCAGAAAGCCACGGCUAACUACGU
rnacentral:rRNA from 1 species